rnacentral:sRNA from 1 species
GCAUGUUUUGAUUUAAUGAAGUAAGUUCAAUGCCUAGGUUGUUAGUUCUCUGUUGCAUAACCGAUUGUAUCUCUGAAGUAAGAACGCACCCUGCUUUGAAUUUGUAACUUGACUAUACUACUUUGAUCGAAACUCGCUUAUCUGUUGCCAUUCCCUAUCUAUUAGAACCUGAACUGAAUUUGAAAUUAUCAUGUCUAUGCAUUGUUUAUGAACUCAUGGCUACCAUAUACAUACUUGGAUUAUUUUAUUCAUUUCAUCACCCUCUGUUAAUCCAAGUAGUUGUCUCUCAUUUUUAGAGCAGUUUCCCAUACCCUUAGCCUAGCCUUAUUUCAAGCCAAAGAUCAUUUGUGUGUGAUUGUGAGGUCUUUUUGAUUGAGCUUGGUAUAACGUGUUAGGUAUGAGCCGACAAGAGCAGUCUUUCAUGUAGACCUAGCCCACGCUUUUUGGGUUAGCUAGGACUAGGUGGAGACUUGUAUUUGGGAUUGGGAUUGUGUAUGGAAUGAAUGGGAAUGAGAGUGAGAAUAAAAAGAAAAGAAAAAAAAGAGAGAGUAAGAGUUUAGAGUUCUAAAGAGGAUACAAAAGUGUUAAGUCUAGUAAAGGGUUUGGAAUUCAAAGAAGUUAGGCAUUGAGAUUCAAAGAAAAGGGUAAAACGCCCUAUGUGCUAAGAAUAGAAGAAAAGCCUUAAGUUUGUCAUAGUAAAGAACCAAACCCGCUAGACUCUUAAAUCGUUUCAAAGAGAACCCCUUAGAACUUGAACCAAAAAAGAGAGAAAAAAAUGAGAAAAAUGGUAGAGUUAGGACAUCUAUAGGAAGGGGAUCAUCUUCUGAGCUAUCAUAUUAUAUCAUUGGGUAGAUGGGAGUCUGUUCUUGUAUGUGUCCGUUGGCUUUUACCUUUAGCAUUCUACUGAAGCUCAAUCUUUUCUCUGAGAGUCCCCUUGUUACUUGACCAAACCAUUAGAGAGACCAUUUUUGUCUCUUGGCCUAAGCCCGAAACCAAGUGAAUUCAUAACCAUUGCAUUGCUUGAUCCACUGUUCGUGCUUAAUGAAUGUUAAAGGGAAUUGGUUGAUGUGAAUGCUUGAAUAGAUUAAGGCAAGUUGUUAGGUUGCAUUGUGACAAGUAUGGCUAACGUUUUUAAGUAAGGUUAUAUCAUCUUGCAACCUAGAAUUAGCUACCUGGACAUUGAGCUUACCCAUUUUAUAUGCAUGCUUCGGUUUUUGAAUCCCCACCUUCAAACCUCUCCUUCAACUUAAGAUUUUUUGUUUGCUUGAGGGCAAGCAAGAGAUAAGUUUGGGGGAGUUGAUAACACUGUAUUUUACUCAUUUUAGGUGUAUGUUUAUCAUCAUUUAGCUUUGCAUUUGCUCAUUGUAUCAUGUCAUUUUGCACCAUUUUAGCUUGUUUUGCAUACUUAGGCAUCUAGGAUCAUCUUGCAUUCGCAUUGCAUGUUUUGGUGUGUUUUCAGGUGCAAAAGGAGCUUAAAAAGACUCUACUCGAUCCAUUCACUCGAUCCAGGCAGCUACUGAAGAGGCAUCAUUCUACUCGACCUCUUUACUCGAUCCAGGAUGCCACAAAGGAGGCUGCAGUUUACUCGACCCUCCUACUCGAUCAAGGCAACCUCAGACGAAGCAGUAGAUUCAACUACUCGCCCCUCCUACUCGAUCCACUACUCGAUCCAUUUACUCGACCAAGGGUGACCAUCUCUACAAGACUUGUUGAGCUAUCAAAGCGUCUUCGGAUCCUCCUCAUUCCCCACUCAACCAGACAUCUAAGCAUACAGAUAGGAGAGGAUGAAGCAUCUACUCGACCAAUUGAUCACUCGGCGCAUAAACACAAAGGCGCAGACUUUGCAGCACCCCCUUUACUCGAUCCCCAAGGUCAAGUAUUCACCCAGACCGCCUCAAGUCUCUUGUCUUCUAUGGAAUCUAGGGUUUCAACAUUUUAGUAUAAAUAGACCACUUUGGGAUUUGUCCAAGAGAUCUAUGCUUUAUCUUUCGGUUUUUCUUUGUGUUUAUGAAUCUUGAAACUUUAAUUACUCUUAAUCUAUUUCGUUUUUGCAUUUGAUUGUUUAAGUAAAGUUGUUUAGCUUGUUUAGAUCUACAUUUUGGUAUGAUUUUAGUAAUUUCUAGGUUUGUGUUCUUGAAAAUGUUGCUUGAGUAGUGAUUAGGGUUCUUGAGGAUGGAUUAGAUUAGGGUAAUCUCUAGGUUAGUUAGGUGGUUAGUGUUUAGGUUUAUACCCUUCUGGAUUCGCUUGGCCCCUAUGCGGUUUUCGCUGGCUAAUGUGGAGAUUCGAUCAUAGACGUCCAACGUCCAAAAGACGUUCAAAUGGAUGUCUGACCUACGAAUUCGAGAGAUAUGUAGACUCGACCAAGGGAUUGGCUUGUCUGCCUAUUGGCUUUGGUAGAUUGUUUCUUAAACCCUGCUCUGCUAUGUUUCAUCAACGAGAGUUGAGAUUAGGAAGUGGUAGAGUUAUGGGGGUCUCUGUCACGAGAGUGGAUUGACCUGGUUUUUGAAUCUAACGUCAUGGGUAUCUACCUUUCGCCUAUUAACCAUUUGAUGAACUGUGAGACCCAGUCCCGGACGUCUCGGCGUCCGGCGACCGUGUACUCAAGUUCGAGCCUCUUCCCGGUCGAACCUCUUAAUUUUUCGCGAUUCAACAUAGAAUUGCCUAUAUGAGGCUAAAUUCUAUAAUCACUUUCUUAUUACACAGCUGAAGUCUUUCUAACCUUGGUUUAAUUCUAACCAACUCGUGUACCGGUUUUAUCGUCUUUGUCCCUUAGACUUAGAUCGAUCCUUUACUCGGUCAAGACAUGCAUAUUGUUCGCUAACCAUUCUAGGCCUAACAAUCGCAUAUUCCUUUAUCCUAUUUUCACGGUCCAUUCCCAAACGUCUAUCCUAACUAGUAAGCUAGAUCGUUACAUACCUUGGCCAAUAUGCGGAUUUGAUUCCUUAGCCCGUUUGUCGCCUUAUCCUAUUCGUUCAAUGAU